AGCAGCCGCGGUAAUUCCAGCUCCAAUAGCGUAUAAUAAGUUGUUGCAGUUAAAAAGCUCGUAGUUGAAUUUCGGGAUCAAAUUGUCGGUCGUGCCUCGGUACGUACUGGUAUUAUUGGUUCCUCCCUUCUGACGAACCACGAUGUCAUUAAUUUGGUGUCAUGGGAAAUCAGGACUGUUACUUUGAAAAAAUUAGAGUGUUUAAAGCAGGCUCGCGCUUGAAUACAUUAGCAUGGAAUAAUGAAAUAGGACGUUUGAUUCUAUUUUGUUGGUUUCUAGGAUCGACGUAAUGAUUAAUAGGGAUAGUUGGGGGCAUUAGUAUUCAAUUGUCAGAGGUGAAAUUCUUGGAUUUAUUGAAGACUAACUACUGCGAAAGCAUUUGCCAAGGAUGUUUUCAUUAAUCAAGAACGAAAGUUAGGGGAUCGAAGACGAUCAGAUACCGUCGUAGUCUUAACCAUAAACUAUGCCGACUAGGAAUCGGAUGAUGUUAAUUUUUUAAUGACUCAUUCGGCGCCUUACG
rnacentral:rRNA from 1 species